rnacentral:rRNA from 1 species
CAAGGCUUGACAUCCUCUUGAAAGGCGCAGAGAUGCGUCCCCUCUUCGGAGCAAGGGAGACAGGUGGUGCAUGGUUGUCGUCAGCUCGUGUCGUGAGAUGUUGGGUUAAGUCCCGCAACGAGCGCAACCCCUAUUAUUAGUUGCCAGCACUUCGGGUGGGCACUCUAAUGAGACUGCCGGUGAUAAACCGGAGGAAGGUGGGGAUGACGUCAAAUCAUCAUGCCCCUUAUGUCUUGGGCUACACACGUGCUACAAUGGUCGGUACAACGGGAUGCGAAGGAGCGAUCCGGAGCGAAUCCCAAGAAGCCGAUCUCAGUUCGGAUUGUAGGCUGCAACUCGCCUGCAUGAAGUUGGAGUUGCUAGUAAUCGCGAAUCAGAACGUCGCGGUGAAUGCGUUCCC